GGGUGCGUAGCUCAGGGGUAGAGCGUUGCUCUUACAAAGCAAAUGUCGGCGGUUCGAAACCGUCCGCGCCCACCA
rnacentral:tRNA from 3 species